rnacentral:rRNA from 1 species
UACGAAGGGGGCUAGCGUUGCUCGGAAUUACUGGGCGUAAAGGGAGCGUAGGCGGAUAUUUAAGUCGGGGGUGAAAGCCCAGGGCUCAACCCUGGAACUGCCUUCGAUACUGGAUAUCUAGAGUAUGGGAGAGGUGUGUGGAACUCCGAGUGUAGAGGUGAAAUUCGUAGAUAUUCGGAAGAACACCAGUGGCGAAGGCGACACACUGGCCCAUUACUGACGCUGAGACGA